rnacentral:rRNA from 1 species
UACGUAGGGGGCUAGCGUUGUCCGGAUUUAUUGGGCGUAAAGAGCGUGUAGGCGGCUUGUUAAGUCUUGCGUGAAAUCUCGGGGCUCAACCCCGAGCGGUCGUGAGAAACUGGCAGACUAGAGGCAGGUAGGGGAGAACGGAAUUCCCGGUGUAGCGGUGAAAUGCGCAGAUAUCGGGAGGAACACCGGUGGCGAAGGCGGUUCUCUGGGCCUGUACUGACGCUGAGGAGCGAAAGCGUGGGGAGCGAACAGG